rnacentral:lncRNA from 1 species
GUUCAGCCAACAUGUCCUACGGACCCGAGGACCAGGGAGGUGAGCCUUUGGGCUCCUGGCUUCACGCGCAUUCCUGCCCACGCCUCUCCCGAUAAACAACACGUCAUCCUCUAAAACUACAAAGAUGGCGGCUCACCGCGAGGUGACCAGCAGCAGCGUCCCCCUCCUGACCCCACCCCGGCCAGAUCCCACCAACUCUCUCCCGGUCCCCGUUCCGGAUCCAAGUCCCAUCAUCAACCCCAAGAGGGGAGUGGCCGCCGGGGCCACGCAGACCCAGGCCCCGCAGCCCCCGGGGGCCUGUGGCCCCCCGGGGCCCUACAGACCCUGCUGGAGCCUUGACCUGAAGGUGGCCGUGCUCCUGCUGACCGUCGCUGGAGCGCUGAUCCUGUUGCUGUUGUACAGACUGCUACGGCUGAGGCACAGGUUACAGAUGGCCCGCAGCAGGCCCUCUCUGGAAUACUACCGCUUCUACCACGCCGCCGGCUACACCCUCAAACAUCCCCCGCCGGCCCCAGCUCCACCCGGCCACAACGGCAACACACCGGAUGUUCACGCACCCAUUCAAACCAUGACACCGCCGCCAACAUCCACCUUUAUCCUCCCAUCUCCACCGGCGUCCACUCCUCCUCCUCCUCCUCCUCCUCCUCCUCCUCCUCCUUCUCCUCCUCCUCCUCUACCCCUUCUCCCCUUGCCCCCACCGCCGGUCGUCCUCCGUACUCCUCCUACACCCCCUCCUCCUCUCAUCCUCCGCCCUCGGCCUUCCCCCGAGGCCCCUCGGCCUCACUCCUCCACGCCUCCGUAUCUGACCCCGCCCGCACGCCACGCCACCCCGCCCAGCCCCCACUCGUCCUGGGGCGCGGGCUCCGACGUGGCCGAGGUGUACGCCCGCAUCGGGGCCUUCAGGCCCGCCCGGCUCUCCAGCCUCUCCGGCCACACGCAGGUCAUCCUGUUCGAGCACUCGUCCCUCUGAGGGCCCCAGGACACUCGGGCCGAUGGGCCCCUCUGAGAGCCGGGGGACUGGCUCUGUUUGACCAGGAGGGCCAUACUGCUUCCAAACCCAGGAGAACCCCUGGCCAGUAGUGCCGAUCGCCGGUGGGAGACUGUGUGACACUAUGUCUGGUUUAAACGUCAACUUCAAAGAAUGUCCUCGGUUGAUCGAUAAUCAGUGAUUGACAACAGUGUUCCAUGUUUACCAUUUUGUUUGAUGAAAUAGGGAAUUGAGCUGACCGUGAGGCAUGGUGGAAGGAUACAUUUCUGUCUUCUGAUUGGUGACUCUGCUCGUUGUUGUUGACCACUGUUCAUCUCCAGGGGCUGUACCAGACGGGAAAUAAGUCCUUUUGUGUUUGUUACUCUCUCUGAAUGUGCUGGAUUGGAUUUGGAGUCCAUUAGGGGAACAUUGUGCCAAGAUCCAUUCAUUGUACUUGAUGAAGAACCAGAUUCUGAUGAUAGACAUUAAUGGCUUUCAACGCUAUUAGAGAAAGAGAGACACUCUCUCUUCCUCUCUCUCUCUCUCUCUCUCUCUCUCUCUCUCUCUCUCUCUCUCUCUCUCUCUCUCUCUCUCUCUCUCACGCUCAUUCUCACUAUCUGUCUGUCUGUCUGUCUGUCAAUGAAGACUCAUCAUAAUGGCAUAAUGGGCCACUCUGCUGGAAAGAAAAGACACUUAUAAAAUAAAAAAAUAGUUGCUAUCACCCCCAAAGUUCCAUCCGUAAUAACUUGAGAUAUUUCUCUGUGGAGCCUCACGCUUUGCCUUAAAAUGCCUGUGUGUCGGAUUUGCAUGUUUCUGGACCUCUGUCAUCGAGUUUGCACGGCAACAGGUAUAGGGUCAAUUUAUUUUACUUAGCAACUUUUAUCUCGACCCCCUUUACUAAAGAUACAUUUUCAAUAAUUACGUUUGUCUUGCUAGUAAUUAUUGCGUGCUUCUGCAGGGCUCAUAUGAAAAGCAAACCCCUGCUACCCGGCUUGCCUAUCGUUACACGCUAAAAGCUUGCUAAUUUAAUCCACAUGUUGAACGCGACCAAGGCUAUCCGUGUAGACAGAUGAAACAGAAAGAUGAAACGCAAUUAGACCUUUUAAGAGGGCACUUUAUUUAUCUAAUUGGUCAAUAAACUGGCCUGAGCCACUAAACACCUCACUCAUUCCCGGUCUAAACAACCACACAGUAAGUAUUAUACAUGUAAAUCAAGUCAAUAUUUCCAGGUAAAUAUAGCACAAUACUGGGGUGAGAGCGUACCAUGUAGGCUCAGUUCUGACAACAGUGACCCGGGUUUAAACCCGCCCGUGGUCAUUUGCUGCAUGUCAUCCCCUCUAUCUCCCCUACCUUCCUCUCUAUCUCACUCUAUAAUAAAGCAUAAAAACAUCGAAAUGAACAAAUAAAUAGAGCACAUAAAGUAAAUAUAACUUUUGGUUGAAAAAAAAGAUGUCUUGGUGGUGAAAGAGCUAUUAUCUUUGUGGUGUUGACACCUGUAUGUGAGGUGGAGGAGCGCUGGCAACACAUCAUCCGGUGUCUGACGGCAGAAUGGUGUGAAAGGACAACAUGCAGGUGUAUCAUUUACAUUAAAGACCCGUUGGAUGUAAUUUGAGCGGUGCAUGGUUGCUUACAUUUAUAUGCAAUACUAACCCUCCAUACACACGCACACACACACACACACACACACACACACACACACACACACACACACACACACACACACACACACACACACACACACACACACACACACACACACACACACACACACACAUAUGCACACACAGACACACACACAUAUGCACACACAGACACACACACACACACACAAAAUAUUGACGUUGUAUAGAGCAUUGUUCUCCUGGUGGCAUUUUUUACAUACUAUGAAAAACUGGGUGCUUGAAAUAUAUAAUAAAAUAAAAAGGAGGCUUUAAAAUGAAGCCUUUUAUAACCCAGCAAAACACACAAGACCGGUGCUGGACCACCUGCUUGCAUUUAUCCAUCCAAUCAUCCAUCUAUCUAUCCAAUCAUCCAUCUAUCCAUCCACUUAUCCAUUAAUCUAUCAUCUACCCAACCAUCUACCAUCCAUCCAACCACCAAUUCAUCCAUCCAUCUAUCUAUAUAUUUUUUUUUUUUUUCCUUUACUUAACCAGAUGUGCCUGUUGAACCUCCAGUUUAUAUAAAGUUUAAAUAAAGCUACAAUUCCACUUUAAAUGCUCGUAAACACUUGAAGUAUUUAAACAGGGACACCGCCUGAGGCAGUCCAGCUUCAAGACCUUCAGAAUCCCCUCUGUCUCUCUGUCUGUCUCUCUAUGUCUUUAAUGCCCUGGUAUCAACAAUUUGACUGUUGUCCGUUCCGUGUCCAACCACGCAAUCUCUCAUCUCCCGUCGUCGCCCCUGGGUGGUGACGCUGAGGGAGGCUUACGGAGGGGAGAAGGGUGCGCCCUGUAGCACCUGCUCAGGGUAUCAAACAGCAGCGCCACCGAGGGAGAGACCGGCGGCUGUUUGAUGUCUCGCUUGGGUGGCUACCUGUGGAAAGACGAGUCAAAAUACCAACUCUGACCACCUGCAGGGGUACUCACUGGGGGAACAAUAAAGAGAGAGAGAGAGAGAGAGAGAGAGAGAGAGAGAGAGAGAGAGAGAGAGAGAGAGAGAGAGAGAGAGAGAGAGAGAGAGAGAGAGAGAGAGAGAGAGAGAGAGAGAGAGAGAGAGAGAGGCGAUGAACAAUAAAGAGAGAGAGAGAGAGAGAGAGAGAGAGAGAGAGAGAGAGAGAGAGAGAGAGAGAGAGAGAGAGAGAGAGAGAGAGAGAGAGAGAGAGAGAGAGAGAGGCGAUGAACAAUAAAGAGAGAGAGAGAGAGAGAGAGAGAGAGAGAGAGAGAGAGAGAGAGAGAGAGAGAGAGAGAGAGAGAGAGAGGGAGAGAGAGAGAGGGAGAGAGAGAGAGAGAGAGAGAGAGAGAGAGAGAGAGAGAGAGAGAGAGAGAGAGAGAGAGAGAGAGAGAGAGAGAGAGAGAGUGGAGGGAGAGGGGAGAGAGAGAGUGAGGCGAUGAACAAUAAAGAGAGAGAGAGAGAGAGAGAGAGAGAGAGGCGAUGAACAAUAAAGAGAGAGAGAGAGAGAGAGAGAGAGAGAGAGAGAGAGAGAGAGAGAGAGAGAGAGAGAGAGAGAGAGAGAGAGACAGAGAGAGAGAGAGAGAGAGAGGAGAGAGUGAGUGAGAGAGAGGAGGAGGGAGAGAGAUAGAGAGAGAGAGAGAGAGAGGCGAUGAACAAUAAAGAGAGAGAGAGAGAGAGAGAGAGAGAGAGAGAGAGAGAGAGAGAGAGAGAGAGAGAGAGAGAGAGAGAGAGGAGAGAGAGAGAGAGAGAGAGAGAGAGAGAGAGAGAGAGAGAGGAGAGAGUGAGUGAGAGAGAGGGGGAGGGAGAGAGGUCGGGGAGAGAGAGAGAGUGAGAGAGGGUCGGUGGGCAGGGAGAGGGGGGGCAUAGAGAGAGUGAU